CGUGGGCCUCAGACUGAGGGGAAGGGGCGGCCGAGGGGCGGGCGCGAGGUCAGGUGAGCGGCGGCGCGGAGCCUGGCGCGGCUGACCCCGCCUUGUGUCGCUGGGUCGGCCUGGAGGAGAGUGAGAAACCUCUGGUUGCGUUCUUUUGUUACCACAGGCUGGUUAGGAAAAUCAUUUGGUAAUUUAGUGGUUACUUGGUUAACGUCUGGGGCGGGGGACGCUAUGCCACUUUUUUUUUUUUUUGGUGUUUCAGAGUUGCUCAAAUGAUUUUUUUCUUUUCAACGAUGGGGCUGUGUGUCCUGUAAACCAGUUUAUGAACAAACACCCUCUUGAACCAUACAAGAUUGCACAAAUCACGGAGUCUGGGGCAAUGAAUUUUUAGAAAUGGGUUUAAAAACAUUCAUAUACAAGAGCGGAUGAAAGUUAAUGGCAUUAUUGAAUUAAGACCAACUACAGUUGCUUUUCAUAACAUUCUGGUGCUCAGACAUCUUGUCCUAAGGUUAGUCCCAGAUGGCUGUACUGUUCAGAGUCUUGGGAAGGGUUUUGCUUCAUCUUCCUGAAAUUCUUCCCAUGAAAGACGUGGUUGGUUCAGUUCUCAUAUGACCAGAUAAAAUUGUUAAAAAAUUGUUUGGAUGCUUACAUGACAUUUGAGGGCAUUGCAGUUUCUUUCAUAAAAGGAAGGUGUUGCAUUAAGGCCUCAAAAUUAUCUUAGGGAAGAGAGUUCCUGGCCUCUCAAGAUAGGGAUAGAAUUCGAUUAUUUUAACAUGUUUUCAUUGCUUAUUGCUGCUGCUCCAUCUUUUCGUGGAUAAAUUCCUGAAAUGUUGACUUGUUAAAACUUUUUUUUUAAAGAUUUAUUUCUAGAGAAAAGGGGGAAGGGAAGGAGAAAGAGAGGGAGAGAAACAUCAAUGUGUGGUUGGCUCUCAUGUGCCCCCUUCUGGGAUCUGGCCUGCAACCCAGGCAUAUGCCCUGACUGGGAAUUGAACUGGUGACCCUUUGGUUCCCAGCCCACUCUCAAUCCACUGAGCUACACCAGCCAGGAUUGUUAAAGCUUUUUAAAAGGUGUCUUAUGUUCUAGAAUGUAAAACAUUGUUUCCCACACUAAAUUAGGAUCAAUUUGUGCCAGUGUUAUUUGCUAUACAUAUUAAUCUACAUUUAUUUAUUUGUUUGUUUUUAAAGAUUUUAUUUAUCUUUAGAGAGGAAGGGAAGGAGAGAGGCAAAGCAAUAUUAAUGUAUGGUCGCUUCUCCUGCAUCCCAUGUUGGGAAUUGGCCUGCAACCCAGGCAUGUUCCCUAACUCGGAAUUGAACCGGGAUCCUGAGCUCGGAAUUCACUGAGCUACACCAGCCAGGGCUUAAUCUGCAUUUUAAAAUCAUUUACCCGUGUUUAGCACAUUCUUUUAGAACUGUGGGAUUAUUUGUAUUAGCACAGUGUUUAGACAGUCUUCUACUUUACAAAGUGUUGGGAAGAGAUUUUAGAGAUUUCUGUCACCUCUUAUUUACCAGGAAAGAGAAGUUUAGAGUCAAAAGUGCUGUUGUCCAAGUUGAAAUCUGGCGAGGAUCUGGAGCUGAGGUUUUCAUGUUCAUCCCAUCUAGUGCUCCUUUCAGGACACUUCUUUUCAGUGGCCCAGAAUUGUGUGUUUUUAAUUCUGUGAAUGUGUUAUUCCACCUAAUGUAAUAUACAGAGGUGGCCUGCCCUUCUGUCUCUUUUUAGUACCUGUUUUUUAAUCGUACUCAGUGUUUGUCUGUGAUACCUUUAAGUUAGCUGCUUGGUUAGUAUAUGUACAUGAUUUCACAGAAAGCAGAGGAAUUAUAAUUUUCCUUUGACCAUUUAACAACAAAAAUGGUGUCGAGCUAUGUGUGAUUGUUUUUAUCUCUGUGUCUGACAGACCUAUUAGGUAUUUAAUGAUGUUGGCCAAGCAGUUGCUGCUAUGUUUAUGUUAGCUCUUAAAAGGUGGAAGAACACUGAGCCUGUGUGUGGUAAUCAAAAUGUUACUUUGAUUACUUUGAAAAUCUGCUACAUAGGAAGUAUUCUGAGGGUGGGCUGAGCUUUUAAGUUACUGAAGAGCUUUUGGAUAGUGUCAGAUUUAUUUACUCCCUCUUGCCUUUUACAGUUUGUUUUUUUUAGCUCAUUAUACAACACUGGACUGAGCAAAAUAAGCCUUAUUGAUUCCUUCAAGUGAUUUUUGGGCACUGGGCAAACAACUUAUUCAGGCUUCUGAUACGUACUCUCCAAAUUGCUGAUAAGUUGAAGUUCUUUGUCGGGUAGAGUUGCACAACUACGAAAAACAGGAGAUGAACUCAUGGGACUAGUGAGGAUCUGUAGAGUUAGAACGCCAGGAAAUUCUGAGCUGUAAAUCAGAAAUGAAUGCGGUGAGAUGGAAAAGGCAUAUGGAGUUCCUCUGUGGAGAAGAAAAAGUUUGCUUUUUUCACAAGCAUUUUUCUCAAAAGAUAAGAGUGAUGAGAAAACUGACAGGUCUGGGGUGCAGCAGCUGUAAUAAAAGAGUGCGAGUCGGAGCUCUUAACCACUCUCCUAAUACAUGUCAAGUAAACAUCUGUUUUAAGUAGAACUGCCUUCAGUUAUACUGAGUGUUAAGGCAAUUACAGAGGCCGCUUUUACUAAGCUUUUCUAGGUAUGCCUCCCCAAGUUCCUAGAUUAUUGCUUACAUAUUUUAAAUGCAGGAAGUAGAAUUGAGACAUUGGUAUGGAAAUCCUUCAGAACAGUAAGGUCAAGAACACCUGAUAUUGUUACAUGCUUUUUUUUUUCUCUUUGAUCUGCUAUUUCAAGUGAACAUUUAUUGUAUUUUGAGGAACACUGACUUCCCCCGCGUCCCGUCUGGAACUCCUGCUUAUUUAGUUCUGUCUCCACCAGAGCAGGUCUGGCCUGUUCUUUGUUUUUGUUCACUUGUACACAGUGGGCUUCUGUACAAGAACUGGUCCCAUUGGUUAAAUAAGUUUGAAAAUCCCAGAAACAGUGCUAGCAGGGGAAAAACAGUUUAUCAUGUACCUCACUUUUUCUUUGCCUCUCUUUCCAGUUAAAAUAUUUUGCAGCUCUCUAAACUUAGGGAUGCUUUUAGCCUAUUAUACAGUGCAGAGGCACUCUAAAUAUUUAGUUAAAUUACCUUUAGCGUUAGAUCUACGCUAGCUUUGCUGGUUCAGUUUGUUAAGUCAUGUCGAGUUCUGUGUUGUCUGUGUCUGUCUUUGUGGGUGUACAGGCUGAGGCUGCAGGGAUGUCAUCUAACUGGUGUUUGGCAGUACCGUCCCAAAGAUGCGGUGGGGGUUAGGGGACUGUGACAGUGCAGGACUGCCUCAGAGGGAAAGAACAGAAAGAGUAACUUCAUUUUUAUUAAGCAAACACUGUUCUAAGUACUUUACAAAUAUAAAUUCUUUUACCCAGUUUGUAACUGAGCACUCACUGUUUGUCCAUGUUCCUAUAUUUAAUCAUCACAGCAGCCCUGGGAGGUAAGCACUAUGUUCUCUUUUUAUUUUUUUUUAAAUAUUUUAUUAUUUAUUUAUCUUUAGAGGGGAAGUGGGGGAAGGAGAGAGGGAGAGAAACAUCAAUGUAUGGUUGCCUUUCGUGCGUCCCCUGCUGGGAACUGGCCUGCAGGGAACCGGCCCGCAACCCAGGCAUGUGCCCUGACUGGGAAUCGAACCGCGAUCGUGUGGUUCGCAGGCCCGCGCUCAAUCCACUGAGCUACACCAGCCAGGGCAGCACUAUGUUCUCAUCUUUGUUUUACAAAUGAGGAAACUCAAGGUCAGAAAGUCAGAUAGAUUAAGAUUAGUAGGAGGUGGAGCCAGAUUUCCAACCAGGUCUGCUGUUGAGCUUUUCCUUCACUUGAGGAUGGUGUCCAGGUCUGGAAUAGCCAUCACCUCAUUUAGAAUGCCAUUAGGGUUUGCACGCCUGUUUGGGUCAUUAUCCUGUUUUGCUGAUGGAGUAGUGUUUGGCCACAGAACUCUCUCUGACGCUUUUGCUGAGAGAUCAGAGGAAUGGUCCCAGCAACCCAUGUGGUGACAGCUUCUAAAACAAAGUUUAUUGGAUUGAAUGGAAAUAAUGAAAAAAAUAAUUACUAUCUCUGUGAAAUUGACUUAUCAGCUACUGUUGCUAAUUCUUGUUAAAAUUAAAGCUCCUUAAUGUGUUCAGCAAACUCAUCAAGCCAGUAAAUAUUUUUAAGACCAAUCCACAUUACCAGAGCCAUAGCCCCUCUCCUGUGGCUCCGCACUCUGCCACUGUUCCCAUGAGAAAGCUUCAGUGUCACCUGUGGCAGACGUGCAGUUGUUCCUCCCCGCAAACCAAAGAGACUUUACUGAAAACCCUAGAAAGUAGCAACUCCUGGGAGAGAACAGCGAAAAGACAAGUUCACAAGGUAUGUUUAGUGGAUAGAGAAAAGAGAAAGGCUGAAAAUAGUGAGGCAUAAAGGAAAGGAAGAAAUGAUUUGUCAGGUUAGAGGUACACCUUUUUUCCAGGUUUUCUUAGCACUAGCACCUGACUUAGUUGUGAGCCAGCUGCAUUAACUUUUUGCUCAAAUUUUUACACAAACUGAAAUUUUUAU